rnacentral:rRNA from 1 species
CGAGAAAGCCCGCAAGGGUGAGUACAGCGGCGCACGGGUGCGUAACACGUGGGUAAUCUGCCCUGGAGCCCGGAAUAACUCCCCGAAAGGGGUGCUAAUGCCGGAUGAGCCCACGGGGUCUUCGGACCCUGAGGGAAAAGGUGGCCUCUGUAUACAAGCUAUCACUUCAGGAUGAGCCCGCGGCCCAUCAGCUCGUUGGCGGGGUAAUGGCCCACCAAGGCUACGACGGGUAGCUGGUCUGAGAGGACGAUCAGCCACACUGGAACCGAGACACGGUCCAGACUCCUACGGGAGGCAGCAGUGGGGAAUCUUGCGCAAUGGGCGAAAGCCUGACGCAGCAACGCCGCGUGUGUGAUGAAGGUCUUCGGAUCGUAAAGCACUGUCGCGAGGGACG